CCCCUAUAAAAAGAUCCAUUUAUGUUUUUGCCCCUUCCUUCUAUUUUUUAAGAUUGGUUUUUUAAAACCAUUUUUCUAGAUUGGUUUGAUUUGACUAUUAUUGUAUCCUCCCCAAAUUAUCAUAUAAACCCUAAAGUACUAAGAUCGAUUUCUGAAUCUAGAUGGUCGUUGGGGUUUCCUUUUCUUCAACCAUUCCGGUUGCAUCAACUCGUCGACGGCUGACUAAAGUGGCCCCUGAACCGCUCGAACUUCACCUCGUAAUGGAUGAGCGAAUUAUUAGGUUCGGAUGGAAAGUAGGCUGGAAAAGGUUGAUGAUAUUAAUGCAUGACGACUCCUAUAUCUGAGACAUUGGCGUUCAAUCUAUUUCAAGUUUAACAAGAACUAUUUUUGCCAAGAAAAAAAUGCUCUGCUAGCCCGGCGAAGUGGGCUACAUAUGCUAUGAGGAAAGAUACCAAGAACUUAGUUUUUUUUCAGAUCUCAUGGACAAAGUGGAAGGCACAUGUUCAAGAUUGGAACUUAAAGCUGGUCUUUAGGAACUUAACAUGGCCAAAAAUAGGGUAAAUAAAGAACAUAUGUAACUCGCUUAUAUGAGAUUGCAUUGGUGGAUGAAAUUGUGUCUUCUUUCCAUGAUGCCUCGUCUAAAGCAAGGAGCUGUCUGGUGCCAUUAUUGCUGUUGUUGACGUCAAGUUAUUGAUGACUGCUGCUAUUGUUAUUGCUGUUGUAGCUGAUGUCUGCUGAGCUGCAAGCUGCUGCUGUCUUCGCUUACUACUGAUGUUUGUUUGGAACUAUGCUGAUUGUGAUUAAACUUAUUCAGUUUGGAAUUUGGUGGUCUAAGAGACCGAAAUUGACUUUUUUUAUUAUUAUUUAUUAUUAUUAGAUUAUUUAGCGAAAAAAAAAUGGUGUUUAUGGUUUUUUUGUUGCAAGGAUAUAUGAAGUUUUAUCAGUUCAAAUUAAUGUUUAUCGUAUAUGUUAAUUUCA